AGCAGGUGUGCCCUUCUCAAGGGCAUGGGUAUUGACAUCAAGCAGUACUUCAUGUUCCAGAUGAAAGAGUCGAAGAGAGAGGAAUAGCCAACAUCAACCUUGAUCUGCACUGAGGACUUGGCUUACUCGCAGCCUAAUGUAGACACAUGGUCCCUCUCGGUUAUUCAGUUUCAUCAUGUCUCAGGUAGACUCCAGGGUUACAUAUCAGCUGGAACUGAACUUUGCCUGGCAAAUGGUUCAGCAGCAUUGUUGGUGUGAACAUCGAGGGAUAAAAAUAUCAGUACAAGAAUGAGAUGCUGGAGGAUAGCAUUAUGCAGGUUUUGAUCUUUUUUAUGUUUUGGUAAUAAGUUGUUCAUGAAGAGCUCCCAUGAAGAAAGAUGCUCAGGAUUUACUCUUGCGUACACAUUAUGCAUUUGCCAAAGCCUCUGAGCUGUUCAGGUGUCUUUAUUCAGUUGUUACGUUCACCUCCUUCUUACCAUCUUAAAGGAAUUAGCGGACAUUUUGGGAUAUAAAAACGCAUAAUCUUUUCUUGCCUACAGUAAGAUAGAAAGAUCGGUGCCACUCUCAUAUGUGUCUGUGAAAUACUGAGUUAAUGCCUGGAGACAGUAAACUCAGCUCGGUAGGAGGAACAGAAGCAGGGAUAAAAAAAACAGCCAGGCUCUGUCCAAAGUCAAAAGUUUAAAAGAAUUAACAUGUUCUAACUUGAACUAUCAAACCAAAGUGAAGCAGUUACAUGCUGCGAUCUUUGCUUGCACAAGCUGCUUAUAGUCAUUGACUAAGCUCAGCUCUAUGGUUAGUGCAAAAAUA